GUCCCCUCAUGGCUCAGGGAUAAGGAACCUGACUAGGAUCCAUGAGGUUGUGGGUUUGAUCCCUGCCCUCACUCAGUGGGUUAAGGAUCUGUCAUGGCCUUGAACUACAGUGUACGUAGGUGGCAGAUACAGCUCAGAUCUGGUCUUGCUGUUGCUGUGGCUGUGGCGCAGGCCAGCAGCUGCAGUUCCUGGCCUGGAAAUUCCCAUAUGCUGUAGGUGUGGCCCUAAAUAGAAACAAAUAAAAUAAAAGAAUAUUUUUUAAUAGUUGAAGAGAAGCAAAAGCAGAUUUGGCAACAUGAAAAUUCUCUAAAUUCCAGUCCUAAACACCGUUUUCCUGGCACAUGGACAAACUCCCUGGUUUACGCAUGAUGUCUGCAGAAGCUUCUGCGCUACAAUGCAGAGCUCAGUGGUUGCAAAGCCUAAAACAUUUACUGUCUGACACGUUAGAGAAAAAGUCUGCUGAUCCCUGCCUUAAGUCUUACCCUCUAUUCUAUUCUAGGAUGGAAGUAAGACUUGACACACUGGUCCCCAGCCUCCCUUCUGAUAUGUAAAUCUGGCUAUAAAUCCCUUCUCUCCCCAUAAAGCCUGCCUCUCAAGACUGGCUGCUUCACCCGAGGUUCUCAGAAGAAGAGUGGGCUUUGGGAGCGGAGGUGAACAAUGACCUAAUUAUGCUUCUUUCCAUUCCUGCUUUCGAAGUCCUUACGGACAUUUUAAAGAAGGGAUGAUGUGGUUGCCUGGAAGGUGGGAGGCGGUGCCCAAGGACAAGGAAGAGCCCAGGAAUAUUUUUCAAAAACCAUCACCGUCAGUGCAAGUACAAAUCACAGCGGGGCAGGCGGGGCAGACGGCAGCCUAACCAGGGAGGGGGUGGAGGAGAAUGACGGAGAGGGAGGUGCAUGACUGAGACCCUGAGGGAUGGGGAGGAUGUGGGGGAGCAAAGACAGGAAGAAAAAGCACCAAGACAACAAUGCCAGCAACGGGGGCAUUCAGGCCACGAGACUCAUAGUAUCUGGAGACAAGGAGAUACUGGCAAGGAAGGAACACAGCGACCCCUGAAAAGCUUUUUGGCUCAAGACACUAAGUCUACUCAUUGCUCUAAGGUUCCCCAGCAAACUAGGGUUUGACAUCACAUGGGAUGGGCUCCCUCUGCACGUGGACCGUCCAUCAGCCGAGCCUGGUGUCACGACAAGCUACCAUCAUGUCUUCCACACUGCCCACGUUUAGAACAGCAGGAGUUAUAGGCUGGAGGAGCACAGGGGCCAAUCAAAGAGGGCCAGGAAGCAGCGACGUCAUCUUUCCUCUCUCCUGCCCACCUCAAUCUCAUCCUUGGUGGAGGGGCACAGGCCACGGAAGGCAGACCGCCCCAGCCCAUCUCUCCCUGGGUCUUCAGUAACCCACUCUCUAUCCGGGAAGAAAGACUCUCACGCGGGGCGACUUUAGCUCCAAGUCAUCCAGUCUGAACUCCAAAGUGCUUUCAUUGGAGGGAAAUGAUGGCUUUGUGUAACAGGAAAUGGACUGCGGCCGCUCAAAGACUCCCGUUGCC